UGUCCGCCAUUUGUAGUUGUUUAUUUUUAUUUCUGAUUUGACGACACAGUGCGAAAGUCUGCUGUGAAGCUUACAGAUUGCAAAGAAAGAAAAAGAGAAAAGAAAACCAAAAAAGAAAAUGAAAAUUUUCAUUCUCCUUGCUGUUUUGUGUGGGUUGAUGACCACUGUGUACUGUGACUGUAAUAAACAGGUUGGUGCGCAAUGCGACCUUGACUUGGGGACUGCUCUUCAAGACGCAGAUGAUAACAAAACGAAACUGUGCGCUGCCCUGAACAUAUUCCUUAACUGCAUCAAAAACUCAGGGUGUGAAU